GGGCCCCGCUCCCUCCGGUGCAGGGCCGCGGAGUCGCAGAGGGCUCGCAAGGGAAAUUCAUUAAACACCUGAAAUGGAUUAUAACCAGGUUAAUGGAUCAAGUCAUGGAAAGAAACCAUACUCUGAAAUGUAGAGAUGAAAAGAAGGACAAGGGGACAACGAGAAGAGUUGUCAUCAGACCUUGUCAGUUGUGGCUUUUCUCCAUGCUCAUUGCCUCUUAGGUGUGCACUAACUGCAGUGAUUCAUGCACCAUACUGGGCUUCCAUAGGUGAUUCUGGGAUGGACUGGAUGAGCCAAUGAUACAAGCUAUGUUCUAUUGUAACAGAAAAGCAAGAUGUUACUCAGAUUUGAUAAACUUUUGAAUAAAUACCAUGUCACCCGCAUGGACACGCUCUACAUACCGCUUAAGCAAGUUUUACAAUCGCACAUUGAAAACUCUACCAGCCAGUAGUUGAAAGACAGUGCUCUCUCAGGGGAAAAUACGCAGGAGUGGCUGCAAGGAGAUUCUGUUCAGGGCAGUAUUACGGCAAGAACUGUGCUAGUAAGAUGUUUUAUUUAAAUCGUGAGUUUUGAAAUAGAUCAGAGAGUGAAUUUUAUAUAAGUCAGGUGGAUUCAUUAUCUAACACAAGAUACUUUGCAGAUUGUUUAAGCUCAUGUUCCUAUGUACAGAUGUGAAAGCAAUACAAUAAAGACUGACCUUUUCCAUGAAAAA